rnacentral:rRNA from 1 species
AAUCUACCCUUAACCGGGGGAUAGCCCCGAGAAAUCGGGAUUAAUACCCCAUAAUAUUAUGAUGAGGCAUCUCAUUAUAAUUAAAGUUCCGGCGGUUUUGGAUGAGCAUGCGCGACAUUAGCUAAUUGGCGAGGUAACGGCUCACCAAGGCUUCGAUGUCUAGGGGUUCUGAGAGGAUUCACCCCCACACUGGUACUGAGACACGGACCAGACUCCUACGGGAGGCAGCAGUAAGGAAUAUUGGUCAAUGGGCGCAAGCCUGAACCAGCCAUGCCGCGUGAAGGAAGACGGCCCUACGGGUUGUAAACUUCUUUUGUACGGGAAAAAAUCACCGGUCGUGAACCGGUGUUGAUGGUACCGUAAGAAUAAGCAUCGGCUAACUCCGUGCCAGCAGCCGCGGUAAUACGGAGGAUGCAAGCGUUAUCCGGAUUCAUUGGGUUUAAAGGGUGCGCAGGCGGAAUGAUAAGU